rnacentral:lncRNA from 1 species
UAUGACAGAAAUAGCACCAAAAACUACUGUAUAGCUAUUUUAACAAAAGAAAAAUAUAGCUAAAUUAUCUUGAUUUCUACAUGUAUACUUGUUAAAAAACAUCAUAGCUAACCGGGGCAGUUUUUUUGCUUCCGUUUUUCUGUUCUCAGCCGUGUCAGGUGGAAACAAAUAUACAGAUAGGAACUUUCACAGAUUCCUUUGGCGACAACAGGCAGGAAAAGUACUCUUCCAAUGCCUAUGAAACCUACACUGCUGCAUGACAGGCUCCUCAACGAAGGCCAAAUAUAGAGUUCUUAUAUUGUUCAAUCCUCUGUUCUACACAUACAUUCUAUCAUAUUCCUACAUUUUGCACAUUUUUCCUAUCUUGUGAACCAACGGAGCCCUAAUGGUGGGAACUACGCAAACUCGCCCGUCAACGUCAAUGUCAUCACAACCACCCUGAGGAAACUUCAGUCAAGAUCAGAGGGCAACCAAAUUUGCAUAAAAUAAUUGAAGGCCAAGGUCCUGUUAAUUACCUGAUAUUACAUAAAGUUCAUAUCGGGAACAUGCGGCUACUAAAGCAGUCCACAAGAAAUAGCAGCUGGUGGUCGUGUGCCCGGCCCACAGCCCACAGACUUGCACCCUGGUUUCCAUCUUUCAAACUAUUAUAUAGCAAAGUUAGCAACUGGUACAAUUAAGUGGAGGCUCAGAAUAAAACAACUUGGAAAGCUAGCACAAGGAUGGCAGUAGUGCAUGAAUGCCUUCACUAACAGGCAGGAAGAUUCUUGCCACCUACUUAAAUUCAGACAUGACUCGGAUGAGAUACAUGUACCCAAAUGAUUAAUCCAAAGGUAAUUUAGUCGUGUAUUUUUUUAUAUAUACAAUAUAUAUGCCACAAGUUCACACUCCUGAGCUCACAACACCUCAGCGAUAGCUAGACAGACAAAGCCAUGUUUCCUGCAAGCAAUGGAGCGCCGCAGUAGCAGCUUCUUCCCAUCAUCAUCCUCUACGCCGGCUGCUUCCUCCUCCUCGCUGCUCGAUGCUCCUUGACAUGUCGCCGCUGCAACGCCGCCACCCAUCUCCUUUAGCUUCAACUUCGCCAACUCAUCCUCAUGCGACCCAAAAUACCUCAAUUUCUCGGGUGACGCGGCCGUGAACGGCAGCUUGGUCAACCUUGCAGGCAACUCCUUGCAGCAGUGACUACCGGCGACCGCGGCUUAAUGUCGUAUGGGCCCCCGUCGUCGUUGUAUGACAACAACACCCAUGAGGUGGCGAGCUCAUGCAUGGAUGGCUUCACAGGCAUACGCAGACCAGAUGACUUCACGGGCAUCUUCGUCAAGAAGGGACACCAUCAAAGAUGCAUUAUGAGGGUCAUACACAUCUUUGAGUCCCUACAUUCGGCAAAUUUCCAUUGGCUCAACUCCGCAAAUGUGGUGCUUUUGCCCAAAGAGGGUGCGGAGGGCAUCUCCAACUACAAAACCAUUAGUCUCGUCUAUGCUAUCGAUAUUAUUGCAAAGGUGCUAUCCAUCAGCCUUGGCCCCCGCAUGGAUGCCCUGGUCUCCAACGCGCAAAGUGCAUUCAUCAAGAGGGGAAGGAUUCACGAUAACUUUAUGUACGUCCGAACUUUGCCCACUGGUUGCACAAGUGCGGGACCCCCACCGUACUCUUCAAGCUUGACAUUCGCAAGGCCUUUGAUUCGGUUAAGUGAGAGUACAUCCUUGAUCUUCUACAAAGGAAAGGCUUCCCGACCAAGGUUCGGAAUUGGAUCAUCGUGCUUUUCCGCACAUCUUCAUCGUGGAUCCUCUUGAAUGGUGUGCUUGGCCAUCCCAUGGUGCAUAGUAGGGGGCUUUGCCAAGGCGAUAAACUUUCGCCUCUCAUGUUCGUCAUUGCUGGAACUAGCAACUCCGAAGGGUCUCCUUCACAAGAUUCAUGGGAGAGGUGCUAGGGUGAGAACCUCCCUAUAUGCGAACAAAGCGACUAUGUUCAUAGCUCCUAUCAAGAGGGAUAUUGAUAACAUCGCGACUAUUUUAAAGGGGUACAACAAGGUGACUGGUCUUGGCACCAACUUCCAAAAGAGCUCAGUGGUGCCCAUUCGAUGCAACCAACUCAAUUUGGGCCACAUUCUGCAGAGAUUGUCGGCAACUAGAGCUUCGUCCCCCUUGAGAUAUCUGGGUCUUCCUCUCCCGGUAUGGCGACUCAAGAAGGUGGACCUUCACUUCCUUGAAGACAAGGUGGCCGGAAAACUCGUGACGUGGCCACACAAUGCUAGUCAAGUCCGUCGUCACUUCCCAGGUGGUCUACUUUAUAACACCACUUGUCGUCCUGCCGAAAACACUCCUCAAUGUUAACAAGCUUCAGCGAGCUUUUCGUUGGUUCGACUCGAACAACACUACUAGUGCAAAACGCAAGGUGAAUUGGGAGGCGGCCUGUCGGCCACUCGAAUAUGGAGGCUUUGAGGUGCUCAAACACCGACAAAAUCGCCAGGGCCUUGAGGUUGCGUUGGUCAUGGUUUGAAUGGAAGGAGCCGGGGAACUUGCGGGUUGGUAUGGGAAACCCUUAUGAUGAGGAUGACCUUGAUUUCUUCUAUGCCUCCACCACCAUCACGGUGGAGAAUGGCGAAAAACACCGUUCUGGGACUUACCAUGGCUCCUCGGACGAAAACCAGAAGACAUUGCCCCUCUCAUUUUCAAGGCAUCAACAAGAAAAGAUUGGAAGUUGCGUGAGGCCCUCACGAAGAAUGCUUGGAUUUAAAAGAUCGAACCAUCCACAAUUGUUUCCGUCGACCACAUAAGGGAGUUCUUCACAAUUUGGAUGCUUGUGCAUGACUUCCAUCUUGAUGAGCAUACCAAGGACGACAUCGUGUGGAAACACUCGACAAACGGGCUCUACUCAGCGGCUUCCACCUGCAAGGCGCAAUUCUUUGGUAUGACCCUCUCCCCUAUGGAACAGAUGGUUUGGAAAGUUUGGGCUCCGCUAAAAGUCAAGUUCUUCGCUUGGUUAGCCAUACAAGGCCGAAUUUGGACCACCCAUAGACUGGCCAAGCAAGGCUGGCCAAACUGUGGCCUUUGUCCUCUUUGCAAGAGGGAUCGUGAAGCUAGAGCACAUCUCUUCUCCAAGUGACGUUUUACAAUUUAGCUAUGGAACUUGGUAAUCGAGAAGCUUGGUCUCGACCACAUGUACACUUCUAUACUUAGCACUUGGAGGAUUCCAUCAAGUCUUGGUGGGCUAAUAGGACCGAGUUGAACAUCCCCAGCUAGAUGGCCAUGACUUCUCUCACAAUGCUUGUAUCUUGGACAAUUUGGAAGACAAACUCCCACGUCUUCUAUAACAAGAGUGCACUGCUGGUGAUCUUGCUAAACACCAUUUUAGCCAAAGCCAAUCUUUGGAGCACCGCAAGGGCUAAGAAGCUAGGCACUUAUAGCGCGAGAGUAAUCACCAUGUGUUGUAUGAGAGUCGGUUGUAAAACAAACUAACUCUAUUCUCCCCUUAAUAGAAGAGGCAAAUCUUAUGUCUCCGUUUCAAAAAAGCUCAUGCAUGGAUACCCCAAAGGGGAUGCCAUGGCCUUCUUCCUCGUCGGCUAGCCAUCGGCGCUACCGUCAGACUUGGCCGGUGAUGCCUUCGGCCUCAUAAAUAAGAAAGAGAGCAUCACCUACGACCCGUACCAAUUCGUCGCCAUGGAGUUUGACACGUGCAACAGCACCUUCGAUCCACAGGAAACCAUGGACAACAUCGGCAACGACAUCAGCUCCUUCAGACACUCGGUUAACAUGACAAGCCUACCCAGCUUCAACCUGGAUGGGACCAUGACAACAUCCAUCAAUUUUAACAUCACCCAGAUGCUGGUCGGUAGACUGCACUUCGAUGGCUAAAAUAGCCUAGACAUGACCUGCAACAAAAACAGCCCACGCCCUGGCGGCAACAACUACAGUUAGAACGCAUCAUCAUCCUCCACCGGCAGACCACUCUGCCAACUAUGUGUGAAGAUAAACCAUGAGGUAACUGAGUGUUGGCACCGUUUUAUUAAAAUUAUCUUCUCAACGAACGCCAUGUGGCUGCUGCUCUUCGGGAACAAGGAGAAGGAAACAUGGUGUCGUAUGUUGACUUCGCGCUUGAGAAGCUUGCCAUCUGCAAGAAGUAUUUCGACAACAACCAAGUACACACUGCCGCAAGCGGUGGACGUAUGAACAUCCAUCACAUUGGUCAAGCCUCAAUUAGUUCCCAACUGAUGUUCUAUUAAAAGAUGUUCUCCACAUUCCACAAGGCAAUAAGAAUCUUGCUUCUAUGUCUUGCUUAACAACCCAUAACAAUGUAUUCUUUGAAACACAUCCUAAAUAUUAUUUUUAUAAAGGAUCAGGCAACAAGGGAACUCUUCCAUCGCGGUAGAUGCAUUGGAGGACCUUACCCCAUCACAUCAGGAGCAUUUAGUCAUCAAAAGCGUCGUCGUCAAGCCCUCCUUGGCAGGAUGGCAUCAAAGAGUAGGACAUCCGCCAUCAAUCAUAGUUGAGCAAGUAGUCAAUCAAGGCAAUCUUCCAUUUUCAGGUAGUGAAAAUAAAGAGUCUGUUUGUGAUGCUUGUCAGUGUGCCAAGAGUCACCAACUCUUUGAUGCCAUCUUGCCGAGGGCUUGACGACGGAGUAGGCUUGAAGACAACGCUUUCGACUAAAUGCUCCUCAUGUGAUGGGGUAAAGUCCUCUGAUGCAUCUACCGCGAUCGAGUUCCCUUGUUGUCCGAUCUUUUAAAAGAAAAUAUUUAGGAUGAGUUUCAAAGAAUACAUUGUUAUCGACUAAUAAGCAAGAUAUAGAAGCAAGCUUUUUGUUGGCUUAUGGAGCGUGGAGAACAUCUUUUAAUGGAAGAUCACGUUUAAAAAUAGGGCAUUAAUUGAGGCUUGACCAAUGUGAUGAAUGUUCAUACCUCCACCGCUUGCGGCGGUGUCUACUUCGUUGUUGCUGAAAUACUUCUCGCGGAUGGCAAGCUUCUCAAGCUCACCUGUGAUGUGGUCGGUCACCCCGGAGUAAGCAUACCACAUCGUGGUUCCUUGUUCCUGGAGAAAAGCAGCUACAUGGCGUUCGUCGGGAACAUAAUUUUCAUCAAACGAUGCCAACACUCAAUUACCUCAUGGCUUGGCUUCUUGCAUAGUUGGCAGCAUGGUCUACCGGUGCAGGAGGAUGAUGUGUUCCUGAUUCUAGCCGGGCAUGUGUUGUUGUUGCCACGCCCAUGCACACCGCUAUUACAGCCAUGUCUUGGUGACCACGGCCUGGGCUGCCACUGCCACAGCCACGAGCCGCAGCGUUGGCAGAAGACUGUUGUACGUGCAUCCCUUGGGAAAGGUUGAGUUGUGCCUCAAAGCUCAUCAGAUGGCUGUAAAGCUCCAAGGGUGUGACAAGCUCGACGCGGACAAGGGCUGAGACCACAAAGUUGUACUCAAGGUCCAGACCUAAGCGGACAUAGGAGAUGAUCUCCUGGUUGGAGAGGGGCGCGCCAGCGAGAGUGAUCUCAUUAGAGAGCAUCUUGAUUUGGGUAAGGUACUCCGUCAUGCUGGAGUUACCCUUCUGAAGGUUGACAAGCGCGAUCCUGGUGUUCACGGACUGGGCUCGCGUCUGGGCAGCGAACGUGGCAUGGAUAGCGCUCCACACAUCGGCCUAAGUCUGCAGCGUGACGACCUAGGCAAGCACUUCACAGGACAGGUAACCCAUUAGAUAGCCUUGUACAUGUUGCUGCUGAGCGUACCAGAUCGCGCACGCAUAGUUGACGACCUGCUCUUCCUUCCCGUCGGUGGUGACGAUGAUGGUGACGUGCGACGCUGGGCUUGCUGCGUUGAGGAAGUGGUCCAUCUGUGCGCCCUUAAUAUGGGGCAACACGAUGGCCUUCCAUAGGAGGAAGUUUGUCCUCGUGAACUUCUCUUACAGUGGUGGAUCGAGGGACACAAUGUUGGUGCUGGAGGAGGGAGCAAAGGUGGCAGAUGAAGGUUGGGAGGUCAAGGCACUCAUGGUGCUGGCGAACGCGAAGGCGGUGGUGCCGGUCAUGAUUUCUCUCAGGAGCUUGGCAAGAUGUGAUAUAUGAUCUUAUGAAGAAGCAACUCUGGUACCAUGUAAAUAUUAUGGGAAGCAUAUCUCCUGCCGUAGCAGGCCACGGGUAUUUAUAGACUGAGGCGAUCAGCCAGCCAUGGCAUACAAGUUGAGGACGAUCGCUGAGGAUGCGUCCAGAUACAUGGGAGAUUGAGAGGAGAUCAAAACUGUUUAACUAAAUUCUAUCUCUACUCUAUCUAUCUGUCUAACAAGCUCGCAGUUGCCCCACCUGGAAACGUUAUUCCCACCAGAUGUGGCAGUAGGGUUCUCUGCAGCCACUGGCAUAGGUGUGGAGCUCCAUGAGAUAUUGUCAUGGUCCUUCAACUUCACGCUUGCUCCCAAAGAACAACUACCGAUAUCGAUAUGUAUGUGCUCAUCUUGAGUAGGGCAGUAACUUUUUACAACCUUGCACAAAGAUUUAGGGGGUUAUUUCACAAUCCGGGUGUGUGUUAUCCGCUACGUGUCUAACUGCAGCAGGGAUUGCUGGAGGAGCUUCUGUGUUCCUGCUCGUGGAUUCAUUCAUUCUAUGAUGAUUUAUGCGGAGACGAAGGUGUAAUUCCCUCAUGGUUUCAGGGCUGGCCCUAAGCAAUUCUGGUACCGGGACUUGGCUCGCCCAACCAACAACUUCUCCAUGGAGAGGAAGCUCGGAGAGGGGCGACUUUGGCGCGGUGUACUGGGGAACAGGCCUCAAGGUCGAUCAUGAUGGAUGAUAGCAGCAGGUUGCUGUCAAGGAGCUCUUGAAGGGUGCAAGCCAGGAGGAGCCAAGGACUUCCUCACGAAAGUCAACACAUUAGCAACACCAAGCAUAGGAAUCUGGUCAGGUUGCAAGGCUGGUGUGGCAGAAGCAGAUGGCACUUGAUGUGCUGGUGAUGCAGCCUGAAGCAGCUGGAUGAUCAUAGGCUCUUCCUUGUCUACGAAUUGAUGCCUUAGGUGAUCUCGACCAUCACCUACAUGACAAGGACACGGCAGUUCUGCGAUGGCCAACCAGGUACAAAAUAGUGAAGCGGAUAGGAUUGGCUCUUGUCUACCUCCACCACAAGUGUGUGUCGUACAUCCUACACAGAGAUAUCAAGCCAGGCAAUGUAGACUCCUGGAUGAUGAUUACAAUGCAAGCUCGCCGACUUCGGGCUACCAAGGAUUGGCAACAAAAACAACUCCUCACGGGUGACCACCACCGUAGGGACCGAUGCGUACAUGGAUCCCAAGUUAAAAAUAUAAGGUGAUGUCAAGUUCAACAGGAGCACCAAUGUCUAUAGCUUCGUGCUCAUUCUACUGGAGAUCGCGUGCGGGUGGCGCAACUCCAAGAUGGAAGUAUGGGAUCUCUAUAAAAGAAGCGGCCCCAUGAUCGAUGAGAGUUCGAGAGGGAACUUCCAUGGGGAGCAUAUGACGAUGGUGGAGGCCGCUGCUGACGAGAGGUUGGGAGGCGACUUUGAUAUGGAGCAGAUGCAGCGUGUACUUGUCAUCGGCCUUUGGUGUUCCCUCCCCAACAAUGCAGAGCGACCUUCCAUGCUGGAAGCAAUGCAACUACUGGAAAAAGACGAGUUGCCUCACCUUACAUCCUCGGCCACCACCACUUGUAUUUAGUCUGAUCAUUAUUAGCCAACAUUUGAAAUAAUGCUAUUGGGCAAACGCCCACUGGGGGAGUUCCCAGCAAAAGCACCAACAAGGCACAUGCCUUAGAUCCUGAUCAAGCGAUGACAAUUUUUCUGGAAAAAAAAUGGCUUCAAAAGUAAACCUGUCAGGCAAANNNNNNNNNNNNNNNNNNNNNNNNNNNNNNNNNNNNNNNNNNNNNNNNNNNNNNNNNNNNNNNNNNNNNNNNNNNNNNNNNNNNNNNNNNNNNNNNNNNNNNNNNNNNNNNNNNNNNNNNNNNNNNNNNNNNNNNNNNNNNNNNNNNNNNNNNNNNNNNNNNNNNNNNNNNNNNNNNNNNNNNNNUCAACUAAACUUGCCCCCCCUCCCCAAGAACUAAAUCUAUCAGGCAAAACAUUCGCUUUUGCCAUCUUUCCUGACGAACGUUUGUUAGCUAACAAGGUCCAAUAUAAAUACCACUGCAAAAUAGGGUUAAUUCCAUAGGAAAUUUUUCAAGGCAAUUUCGUUAGUCGCCUUUCAACAUCUGCUCAUAUGAGAGAAUCCCUUGGCCCUCCUCGGGCGACACAAAGAACCAGGACCUGUAACUAGAAGGCACGUCUUGGUCUUGUCACAAAAAAAAGGGCAACCUGGUGCAUGUAGCUCCCGCUUGCGCAGGGUCCAGGGAAGGGUCCGACCACUUUGGGUCUAUAGUACGCAGCCUUUCCCUACAUUUCUGUAAGAGGCUGUUUCCAGGACUUGAACCCAUGACCUCAUGGUCACAAGGCAGCAGCUUUACCACUAUGCCAAGGCUCCCCUUCUACGUCUUGGUCUUGUCACAGACAGAAAGAAUUGGGAUGGAAUCAAGUCUUGACAAGGUACAAGAACACAAAGAUGAAGGAUUCAAAUAAAGAUGGUCCAGAGAAUAGCACUGCAAUCGAGGGACUAACAUAAGGCCGUAAUUAGGAGAAGCUUGGUGAGAUAACCCAUGGAUUUUGAAGGAAUCGUUUUAUUAAAAAAUAUCAUGAGUGGCCAGAACCGCCCUUCUCUACUGCCUAUAUGGCUGACAGUAUGCAUAAGAAUCAAUAUGUAUAGACUAUAGAGUGCAUAGUCCUACUUUAUACAUACUUACAGCGCAAUUUUAUGUGUCAUUGUUACCAAAAAGAGAGGGGGAAGGGGGUACCUUAGCCAAAUGCAGGUUUAUGUGUAUAUCUCCUCUAAGAUGCGAUCACAGAUUGCCAUUAAGUUCACUGCCUUCAGAUCGAAGAUCCUGUCAAUUCUUUCUCUCCAAACAUGCUGCUAGAUCAUCAUGACAAUGGAGGAGAAAUCUGCCAGGCGAUGUGCAAUCAUAAUGUGCAGGUUUUAUUGAAGACACGUAAAAUUGCUUAAAUAUUUAGGUGGGUUGCAAAUAUUUGGUGUCAGGUAAGUAGCCCCUACAGUUUUCGGUCUACACACAAAAAAUAAUAAUUCAACCAUGGCAUUGGCAAACACACAUACAAAAGCACAGAGAUAUCAUUAGCUCCGAAGGAAAAAUACUUAUAGAAGGGUACAUAUACUAAUAUGUUUUUAAGGCGUCCAUAAGGCGUCGCCUAGGCGACGCUUAGGCGUCAGGGCGCCCUGCAAGCUCAAGGCGUCCAGCUUGCCUUAGGUGCAUGAGUAAGGCGUCCGCCUUAAGCUUUAAGGCGUCUGAAGCGCUUCUAAGGCGUCUGAAGCGCUUCUAAGGCGUCCAGGUUGGCGCCUUGGUCCAUAUUGGACGCCUUGAGCUUGCCAGCCAGACAGGGAAGCAGUUUUAGGCUGGAAAAAGAGAUGCUGUUGGCGCCAACGGGUAAGAGGGGGGAAAGAGAGAGAAACAGCCCCCAAUCCACACGCACCUCCUCCUCCUUCUCUAGCUCCUCUCCUCCAGCAGAUCUGCUCCCUCCUCUGCAGCAGAUCCUCUCCAGCAGCUCCUCCUCCUCUCCAGUAGCUCAUCCUCCUCCUCUUCAAUACAACAACAACCAGCAACAGGCAACAGCAAGGAGCCAACUGCCAAGAUAUACCUCCCCCAUCCUCUACUCCUCUCCCUCCCCCUUCUCCCCCACCCUCCUCUGAUCCAUUUCUUCCAUGUUCAGUUGUUCAUUGCUUGCUGCUUUUGAGUUGUUCAUCCUGCCUUGCUGGUUGCUCACUGCUUUGUGCUAGCUUCUUUGCUGGUUGCUCACUGCUUUGUGCUAGCUUCUUUGCUGGUUGCUCACUGCCUCUCUUAUAGUGGUUAGUGGAUGCCUGGAUGGUUAGAAUAAUGCAUGAUUACUAUUGGGGAGAAGAGAAAGUGCAAAGAAGAUGGAUGCUAUAUGGGCUCUACAACCAGCAGCAAGUGCAAGAUGUGUAGUGUGUAUGCCUAGUUGCCUACCAAGUUCUACUUCAUUCUACUGCUCAGAACUCUCUAAGGCGUCCGCCUUGCCUUAUGCCUUACCGCUUAGGCGGUGAGGCGCCCCCCCAGCGCCUUGCCUCGCCUUACCGCCUUAAAAACAUAGUAUACUAUGCAUUAAUCAUGUUAUUAAUACACAAAGGAUAACAGUAAGUAAAAAUAUACUUAUAGAGCAUGUCUGAGUAGUAUGUGCAUAUGGCAGCUAUGAUACUCGAAGCAAAAUAGUAGUAACAGAAACUAUUUACAGGGCCAUGCACAACAUGACUAUGGAUAGCAUGAAGAUAGAAGUAGGGCUGUGUUACGUGGAAAACAUGAACACUAUCCAUAGGGCCAAACUUUUGAGUAUUUAGCUUAGAGGCAUAAUCACAUGAUGAAAUUAUUCCCAAGAAUCAGAUGAUUUUUUUAAUGGCAUUGUCUUGCUAAGGUUACUUAAACAACUACGAAAUGGGCAUCAAACCCAAUGGAAACCAAGAUAUACUGAUGUGAAGCUUUUCAGAACUUAACACUGAACAUCUAAGGUAGAUAUCUAAUAUAUGGAUGCAAAGGAAAUACAAAAGGCAAUUUCAGCACCGGAAGUUUUGGAAAUACCAAGUGAUGCAUUCUUUGGAGAGUUGACGCAGACACAUAGCCAUUUACCGAUGUACAUCAAACCCAAUGGAAGCCAAGAUAUAUUGUCCAGGGUUUAGAUUUUGGCAGUUCAUAUAUUUCAUCCUACGCUUCAUACCUCACCAAAUAUCUAUGUUACAGAUAUGAGCAGUCUUAAGCCAAUCAAAGACAUUAUCCUUUCGGCACCUCUUGCUGAGCUUAGGGUUGCAAAAUCCAGAUCAUUUCAUACUUGAUAUAUGUAAGAAUUCCAUAGAGCUCCGAUUCGCCACUUGCUGGGUCAGGCAUAAGAAACAAUUAAAUUUUCAUGACAGACUAAUAAGAACC